rnacentral:rRNA from 1 species
GAUGAACGCUAGCGGCAGGCCUAAUACAUGCAAGUCGAACGGGAUCCAGAUCAAAGCUUGCUUUGGUCUGGUGAGAGUGGCGCACGGGUGCGUAACGCGUGAGCAACCUACCCUUGUCAGGGGGAUAGCCCGGCGAAAGUCGGAUUAAUACCGCAUGACAUCAUUGAGAGGCAUCUUUCGAUGAUCAAAGAUUUAUCGGACAAGGAUGGGCUCGCGUGACAUUAGCUAGUUGGUAAGGUAACGGCUUACCAAGGCUGCGAUGUCUAGGGGCUCUGAGAGGAGAAUCCCCCACACUGGUACUGAGACACGGACCAGACUCCUACGGGAGGCAGCAGUAAGGAAUAUUGGUCAAUGGACGGAAGUCUGAACCAGCCAUGCCGCGUGAAGGAAGACGGCCCUAUGGGUUGUAAACUGCUUUUAUACGGGAACAAACGUCGGUACGUGUACCGGUCUGAGUGUACCGUAAGAAUAAGGAUCGGCUAACUCCGUG